rnacentral:rRNA from 1 species
AUUGAACGCUGGCGGCAGGCCUAACACAUGCAAGUCGAGCGGAUGAAGGGAGCUUGCUCCCGGAUUCAGCGGCGGACGGGUGAGUAAUGCCUAGGAAUCUGCCUGGUAGUGGGGGAUAACGUCCGGAAACGGGCGCUAAUACCGCAUACGUCCUGAGGGAGAAAGUGGGGGAUCUUCGGACCUCACGCUAUCAGAUGAGCCUAGGUCGGAUUAGCUAGUUGGUGGGGUAAAGGCCUACCAAGGCGACGAUCCGUAACUGGUCUGAGAGGAUGAUCAGUCACACUGGAACUGAGACACGGUCCAGACUCCUACGGGAGGCAGCAGUGGGGAAUAUUGGACAAUGGGCGAAAGCCUGACCCAGCCAUGCCGCGUGUGUGAAGAAGGUCUUCGGAUUGUAAAGCACUUUAAGUUGGGAGGAAGGGCAGUAAGUUAAUACCUUGCUGUUUUGACGUUACCAACAGAAUAAGCACCGGCUAACUUCGUG